rnacentral:rRNA from 1 species
GAUGAACGCUGGCGGCGUGCUUAACACAUGCAAGUCGAACGGAAAGGCCCAAGCUUGCUUGGGUACUCGAGUGGCGAACGGGUGAGUAACACGUGGGUGAUCUGCCCUGCACUUCGGGAUAAGCCUGGGAAACUGGGUCUAAUACCGGAUAGGACCACAUUUUGGAUGGUGUGGUGGAAAGUUUUUCGGUGUGGGAUGAGCUCGCGGCCUAUCAGCUUGUUGGUGGGGUAAUGGCCUACCAAGGCGUCGACGGGUAGCCGGCCUGAGAGGGUGUACGGCCACAUUGGGACUGAGAUACGGCCCAGACUCCUACGGGAGGCAGCAGCGGGGAAUAUUGCACAAUGGGCGCAAGCCGGAUGCAGCGACGCCGCGUGGGGGAUGACGGCCUUCGGGUUGUAAACUCCUUUCGCUAGGGACGAAGCGUUAUGUGACGGUACCUGGAGAAGAAGCACCGGCUAACUACGUG